CUCACAAGCAUUAUGAAUUCCAUUUCAAAACCUAAACCUCCCCAAAUGUAGAUUAGACAUUAUUGAAUCGAAUUCUCAAUCACAUGUACUCAUUAAUCCAUUGAUUUUCCAUAUUUUGACAUGCAUUUUUAAAUUUUAAUAUCAAAAAAAUAUACAACUACAUAUAAUGCAAUCCCCCUAUCAUACUGAGAGUGAAGGUAUCCCAAAUAUUCUGAACAUUUCCUACAAUGCCUCUUGAUGGAAGUUUGUAUAGCUGCAACGCAUCACCACCUUGAAAGUUAGGUUAAAUGUAUCCUAGUGAUGGAUAAAAGAAAAUAUUGACGACUUCAAUGAUCAGAACCUAAUGCGCCUAUUGUUGAAUCACCCAUUAAGA